rnacentral:rRNA from 1 species
GCGCACCCCCNCCUUUCAUUCCUCUUGCGGAAUGGAGGAAAUUUAAUCCAACAUCGAGGUCGCAAACAUACUUGUCGAUUCGAGCUUUCAAAGUAUAUUACGCUGUUAUCCCUAAAGUAACUUAUUUAAGCUUCAAAAAUUUUGGGUAUUAAGAUGAUGUUAUCCUUAUACUCUAAAAGUGUUUUUCUUUCUACCGCCCCAGUAAAACAUAUUUCCAAUUUAUUAAAUUAUUUUAUGUAAAGCUUUAUAGGGUCUUCUUGUCUAAAAGGAACAUUUUAGCCUUUUCACUAAAAGGUAAAGUUCAAAAGAAAAAGUUAAGAAAGAAACUCUUCAGUUUAUCCCUUCAUUCCAGUCUUAAAUUACAAGACUA